UUGUACUUUGGAAAUUUAUAUUUAUUAAAUGAAAGUUAGAGUAAAAAAUAUUAAAUUUCAAUAUUAAAAAAGAUUAAAAAAUGAGGUAAUAAGGCUGUGGUUUAAUUUGAUAGGAUAAAAUUGAUGGCUUCAUAAGAAGAGGGAGCACUUGCUCUCUCCUUCUUCCUCUCUUUCUCCUGAACCCCUGUCUCCCCACAGAACCAUAUAUCAAGGAAGCGGCUAUGUGAGCACACAUGGAGAACAUGGCUCACUGCAACCCAGAAGAGGACUCUCACCAGAACCUGACCAUACUGAUCAUCAUCUACCAUCAAGAAGGAAACACCAAAGCCUUAAACCAGAAAUGAGUUACAGACAGUGAGAGAGACAGAGAGAAAGGUCUUCCUUCCAUUGGUUCACAUGGCGCCAGCCCCAGUUUUUCUCAUUCUUAAUCUUGACCUGAGGAUACACUGACUCCAACCCCAGAGGUAAGGUGAAUAUGCUGUGGUACCUUUCAGCCAGCUGUCUCUGUUGUGGAAGAGGCCCUGCUGGCAGCAGCACAUUGUUGGAGAAAAUCGCCAAGGUUAAAUUUACAGGGUGAGGAUGGCUCAGCAAAUGAUAACUAGGAAAGAGGUAGCCUUGAAUAUUACUGGCAAGAGCCAGUAAAAUCCAGCUUCCGGAAACUAUCCUAUGAAGAGUCCUGAAGUCUUUAAACCAUCCCUGUAUAGUGAAAUUAUUUGAUGAAAUAGAGGCCUAGGAGACACUCCACCUUGCCAAGGAGUAUGUUCAUAUAGAAGAAAUGUUUGAGGACCUAGUAGCAAAGGCAGUAGGAAGACAAAAUGGUGCAAGCUAAACUCCACCUUUUGAGUACAUAUACCAUGAAUCAUCCUAUAUACAACAAUCAGUUGAUUACUGCCUUCUGAUUGACAGAAUUUCAAAAAGUUAUGGGAACCAGAAUAGAACAUAUUAUAUUCCCUUUCACAUGUGCACGGGGCAUGUGAAAAUAUGCUCGGGAAAUUUCUCAGUCUCAAUCUUAGCAAGAGUCACUUUAAAACAAGUCAUGAAAUACCAUGGCUGAAUAUAGGUCAUGAAGAUGAUGAAAUAAAGCCUAAUCUAUAGCCACUCCCUGAGUAUAAGCACUUCAAGAACACAGAAUUGAUAUUAUCCAUGGGUUACACACAAGAAAAGGGUCCAGGACUUGAUGCUGAACCAGAAGUGCAAUAAUGUUAUGAUAGUCACUUUAUCUGCUUCUGGAAUAUAGGAAACCUGAGCUUGAGGGCUCCGAAAGCUCUUACUUUCAGCUGAUAUUGUGACAUCAGCAUGCUUCUCCAUCUUACAAGAUAGAUCAUAGACUAUUUUACAGUUCAAAGGAGGGAGUCCUUCAAAUGCCUGUCAUUCUUGCCUCCAAUCUCUAUUGCAAGAAUAUACUUAGUAGUGACACAGAAAAUAAGAGACUUAACAAGUACCUGAAUUCAGGGUAGAAGGCCAGCAGAACAGCAAUGCACUUUUUAUCCUCCCACCCAUUCUGGAAGGGAAGAACAUUCUGUCCCCUUCAGGAACAACACCGUCUCCACCAGCACAAAUCAAAGCAGCAAGUCCCUGAUUUUGGAGUGGGCCAACCUUGAACCAUGCCUCUAUAGAGAAUGUCAAAGGCAGUUGAUCACAUUAGGGGCUGAGACCCCCAUGCUUCUGCAUCUACCAGAGUUCCCUUAGCAAUCCAGUCCACACUAGGAAUACAAGUCAGUUUCGGUGGAGCACAGUCAGACCUCUGGGAUAUAACACACAAAGCAUAAGUGUGAGGGGCUGUGAUCCAGUAUAGCCCCAAGCUCUAUUUCUGUAGGCUCAUUUUCGUCCCACAUCAUCAACAGCAAUGUCCAAGCCCCACACUGAACUAAAUCUCCCGUGUCUGUAUGGUCCAGGGAAACUCUGGGCACUCACAUGAGGCAUUUGGGGCAUGUGUAUGACCAGCAGAUUUGGUCCUAUAUGUGGUUGUAGUUUCUAUUUCUGGCAAAAGCCAGAGCAGGUGAGCAGGGAGAAUGGCAAACUUCUUCACCAUGUUAAGUUUCAAUUUUAAGUGCAGAAAUCUUUGUUUAAACAUUUCCAAAAGGAACCUGAAUGAGUCUAAAAAUCAAGACCGAGUAGAGAUACUCAAACAUCAUGUAGUGGGCAGUGAAGAUGAUGGAUUAAAAACUUGAUAAAGAAUUUUCAGAGGAAAAUUAUGCUCACUGAACUUCACAUGUAAUAUGAAUGUGAAAGUUGUCAGCUCCAAAAGAAAGUCACAUAUGUCCAACACUAGCAAAAUGGAGCCAAGAGGUCCUAAUGGAAAAGUUCCUAGGCAUAUUUGCCUAUGGUAGGAACUCUAGGCAAAAACUGUGAAAACAAAAGAAAUUCCAUAUAAGUUUUUAUAAAGACAUUUCUCUAGCAAUAACUAGUAUUACCAAUGGCUAGUCACGAACACUGGCAAUUAAUUCUUGUAGCCAAUGAGAUUUAUUUCAAAACAUUUAUGUGAAUUUCUCUUCUUGUGUUUAAAAGUCUUCUCUGCCCCAGUCUUCUUGAUUGCAUCUAUAGUCCACCCUUACAUACAUAUCCUGGCUUGUAAUUCCUUGCUAUUUCUGAAUAGACUUCUGGUUCCACAGAGUUAGUCUCCUGUUGCUUAUUUAGGUUGAUGUGAAAACCACAAGCUCUUCUGGGAGCCCAAAGAGAUAAGGUAGGAGAUGGGCAAGUUGCUAGAAGCAAACAGCUGUCAGUGCUGAAGCAGAAAUACAUUCAGCCAUGUGUGAAUGGCAUGCUUGGCUGGGAGGACCACGUGCGGCAGAGGAUGGGGCUUUGGAACUGCAACAGAAGUCCCACCUAUUAUUAUCUGGGUACUCCAUAGCCUUCAAAUGCAUUACCUCCAAAAUAACCAAGUUUCCACUUUAGAAGACUUCCAGGAGUCACUUGCAAGAUAAGAGUAGGAGUUGGAUAGUGCUGGCUCCCUCCUCGAACUCACACCUCACUUGGAAAAAACAGCAGAGUCUAGACUAAUAUUUUUCUUCUGGGGCAAUUCUCUCCUUCCCUUCUCCACCUUGCCCUCCCCUCCUCCUCUUCUUCUGUGUUUGUCCAGGGGGAUAUAUGGGUUUCAUGACAAAUGGUUCAUCUGCUCAUUACCAGGGAAGAGGGUCUACUAUUUCUUCAAAAGUAAGGAGCACAGGGAUCAAGUAUCUUGGUUACAUCAGAGCCACUUCAGCUUUUACCCUCACUGUUGGCCUCCAUUAAAGAAACCUUGGCAGAGAAAAGUGGAGAUAAUGUCAGUCUUUCUGUGAUGAACUCAGAAUUUAUAUUUUCAUUCAAAAUGUAAAACUAUAUUAUACCAGGAUUUCAAGUUGCCAUUUGUACAACUAAUCGUUUCCAGCACGCUCUGCUCACGAUAAAAUCAUCAAUAUUUUUUUUUCUUGUAAAAACGCUUCUGGGAUUUCCAGCUUCCAAUCUGGCUUGUUAGGAAGUUGGAAGUGUUGGCUCUAUCCAACUGCAAGGAAAAAGCUGAAAAGACUGAAAAAUCAACAGCCAUCCUUGGAUCUAGAAGAGAAAUGAAGUAACAGAAUGAAUUACUUCUUCCAAGACUGGAGAAACUUAUCAUCAAAUACAGAGACUCAUUGCUUACUGGAGAAGUUACCAGUAGAAAUCUCUAUGGGAAAAAAUGCCAGGGGAAAGCUUAAACUGUAAUUGAUGAAUUGCUGGAAGCUUAGUAUGGACCACUCUAAGGGGAUUCAGUCAUUUGGGGCUCCACACUUUUGUGGUUUAAUUUUUUUCCCCUCUGGAACUAUCAGAUUCUCAUAGUGACUGUAAAUGUAAAUUCCCCUUCUGCUCCCAGCAAGGAGAGGAAUAAAGGAACCAUU